GCCGAGAGUUUGUCUAUUUUGCUUUAAAACAGGGAAAAGAAAAAUUGUGUGGAGCAGCCACCUGCUGCCCCGUGUCAUGCCUGGAGAAGAGCCUGGCGCAAAGCCCCGCUGCCGCACCCGGCCCCGAGCGGGGCUUGCAGGAGCUUUUAUUGUCCAUAAACAGAAAACCAGGAGCGGCCAGUAAUAAGAUCAGGAAAGGAGGUAUUAAACAAAAUAGCGCUCAGGCACCGCACGCUUAAAAUUGUGCUCUCAAAAGACACUUUCUGCCGAGCUGCAGUAAAGGUUUUAUUGGUAAUUGAGAAGCGACUCACACCCGCAGAUUUGGCAUUAAUGACCGCUUUAGUGGGUAGAAAUUACACUGCAUAGCUUGUGGACGAAACCCACCAGGAAAAGGGCACUGUGCGGUAAUAACAUUUACUAAAGGAGUUACUACCAAAUGAAUGUCUGGAUUUACGCUUCGGUUUGCCGAGUAAACUUUUGAGUAAGUAUGAAUGCAGGCCAAUAACUUUUAUAGAGGAAAGAAAAAUAUUUAAAGUCAGUAACUUCUCUAGUAGCUGAAAAGUAACUUCUGACAACAAAUGGGCUUUCCCUCAUCGUUGCAUCAAAGCAAUUUCUAUGCUUAAAAUUCACUCUGGAAAAGAUACUAUUUUUAAAAUAACAGCAUCAAUCAGGGCAAUUUCUCAGGUUUAGAAUAACAUUUCAAAACAAACCUCUGCUCAUGAGCAGUCAUGAGAUCAGAGCAUCUGUAGUGGUUUCUGGUUUGUGGGGUUUUUUUUGUUGUUGUUGGUUUUUGUUUUUGUUUUUGUUUUGUUUUUUUUUGGUCAGGAUUUUCACGUGUGCGGGGAGCACAGAAAUGUUAUUCUCUUCGGCAGAUCCUAAAGUUCAUCCUAUAAGAAUUUCAUUCUGAUCUGCUUGCUGUCAACCGAAGUAAUCGGUGAAAGGAACUGCCCGUUCUGGCUCUGUGCCUUCAGAUAGCACAUGCGUUACAGCUGUAAACAUCGUGUUUUCUGAAUGUGUCCAGCUCAUCCUUGUCCUCCAUCAGCACCAGACCUUUCAGGAGCAAAUGAUGGUAAUGGGAUCCACAUGGAAAAGACCCCUCGGGAGGGGGAGGUUAGGACAGGAGGAUCCUCCCGGCCCGUCGCCCUGGCAGGUGGAGCUUGGCUCGGCUCGGCGGGGAUGGAGGCUUUAAAACAAAUAAAGCAUUGAAUAGUACAUGUGUGGACAAGGAAUCCAUGGCAUGAACAAUACAACAAAUCUGAUGUAAUGCAAAGAUAGUAGUUGCAUGUCAAGAAUGCAUUAUCUGAAAAGAUUUGAGAAUACUGCUGUGUUGCAACUGGUAACAGUGGCAUUUAUUGGCUUAAACAGUAUGUGAGCCCUGUCAGAAGAAAAAAACCCACAAUAUAUCUGCCUGGAGGCUUUGUUCUCUCUGUUUGACAAUGGGAAUGGAGGAUAACUGGAAAUUAGGAGACAUGAAGAUUAACAAUUUGUACUCCUACAUCAAUGCAAAAUCAAAACCAGUAUCACUAAAACCAACAUAAAUACCAAUCAGAAAAUAAACAUUUGCUGUUUCAGAAGAAAA